rnacentral:rRNA from 1 species
UACGUAGGUGGCAAGCGUUGUCCGGAUUUACUGGGCGUAAAGAGCGCGCAGGCGGUCGUUCAAGUCGCGUGUGAAAGCCCCCGGCUCAACUGGGGAGGGUCACGCGAUACUGAUCGACUCGAAGGCAGGAGAGGGUAGUGGAAUUCCCGGUGUAGUGGUGAAAUGCGUAGAUAUCGGGAGGAACACCAGUGGCGAAGGCGGGUCUCUGGGCAACAACUGACGCUGAGGAGCGAAAGCGUGGGGAGCGAACAGG